rnacentral:rRNA from 1 species
GACGAACGCUGGCGGCGUGCUUAACACAUGCAAGUCGAACGGUAAGGCCCUUCGGGGUACACGAGUGGCGAACGGGUGAGUAACACGUGGGUGAUCUGCCCUGCACUUCGGGAUAAGCCUGGGAAACUGGGUCUAAUACCGGAUAGGACCACUGCCUGCAUGGGUGGCGGCGGAAAGCUUUUGCGGUGUGGGAUGGGCCCGCGGCCUAUCAGCUUGUUGGUGGGGUGAUGGCCUACCAAGGCGACGACGGGUAGACGGCCUGAGAGGGUGACCGGCCACACUGGGACUGAGAUACGGCCCAGACUCCUACAGGAGGCAGCAGUGGGGAAUAUUGCACAAUGGGCGCAAGCCUGAUGCAGCAACGCCGCGUGAGGGAUGACGGCCUUCGGGUUGUAAAGUUCUUUUAACAGGGAAGAUUAUGACGGUACCUGUUGAAUAAGUCACGGCUAACUACGUGCCAGCAGCCGCGGUAA